AAAUUGAAGAGUUUGAUCAUGGCUCAGAUUGAACGCUGGCGGUAGGCCUAACACAUGCAAGUCGAACGGUAACAGGAAGCAGCUUGCUGCUU
rnacentral:rRNA from 1 species